rnacentral:rRNA from 1 species
GAAAUGGUUGCCCCGCAAGGUCGGUAUACAGGUGGUGCAUGGUUGUCGUCAGCUCGUGUCGUGAGAUGUUGGGUUAAGUCCCGCAACGAGCGCAACCCUCGUUCUAUGUUGCCAGCACGUCAUGGUGGGAACUCAUAGGAGACUGCCGGGGUCAACUCGGAGGAAGGUGGGGAUGACGUCAAAUCAUCAUGCCCCUUAUGUCUUGGGCUUCACGCAUGCUACAAUGGCCGGUACAAAGGGCUGCGAUACCGUAAGGUGGAGCGAAUCCCAAAAAGCCGGUCUCAGUUCGGAUUGAGGUCUGCAACUCGACCUCAUGAAGUCGGAGUCGCUAGUAAUCGCAGAUCAGCAACGCUGCGGUGAAUACGUUCCCGGGCCUUGUACACACCGCCCGUCAAGUCAUGAAAGUCGGUAACACCCGAAGCCAGU